rnacentral:lncRNA from 1 species
CCCACAAAUAUAAAUCUCCACACCAAACUCCUUUAAUAGUAGUUACCCUAUUCAUAAGAAACUUUAUUUUAACUAUUUUCAAUACCGAUUGAUUUCUAAUGCAAGUGGUAAAAGAUUUGAUCAUCUCAUAGUUGAUAUUCGAGAUUCUAAAAUCGAAAUCUAAUUACUUUAUAUCUUCAGAUAACUUUAUUUCUAAAAAUAAUAAACAAAUUUGUAGCACGCUAUCAUUCUCUCUCUCUCUCUCUCUCUCUCUCUCAAAAAAGAAAUUGAAUCAGAGUUCAAGAGAAUAAAUAUAUAACUGUUUCUUUAAGUAGAUUUUUGUAAUCUGUUAAUUGUACAGUAAGCCUUUGGAUAUGGUUGAGAUAGAGACUGUGUAAAUCCUUGUAAAAUACGCCUUUGGAUGUGAUUUAAAAAUGGGCCCAUUUCUUUCGUGUCUUUUCUUGUGGCUUACCUGUACGGUCGUACGGAACUUUGGUUGUGGUUGAGAAAUAAUGGCCAAGUUGUAUAAAAAAUUUCCUAGUUUUACGAUUUUGCAAAGUAUGGCCACUAUUGUGAAUUUUGUAGAUUUGGAUUAAAAUUUCAACAAACUGAUCAAAAUAUUUUUUUUUUUUUUGUUUUUGUUUUCUUCUCUUUUUUUCUUUUUUUUUUCCAACCCUCCUCCACCGUCUUCCAGACCUCGGCGACGGUAACGAGGGCGUGCGCUGCCUCCUCUCCUUUCGCCUCCGCCUUCAUUGGUGUCGGCAUCGACGUGGGCGCCAGAGGAGAAAAACUCGAAGCCGCCUCCGCUUGCGCCGGCCCAGACAUCAACGUGGCGCCGGAGGAGGAGAAUUCGAAGUGGGAGCAGAUGAGGACGGAAUGGACAGAAGCAACGAGGUCGUGGUCGAGGAAGUACUCGCGGCUCUUGAGGAUAAGGUGAAAGACACAUCUAUCUCCAAGAAGCAUAAAGUAAAAAAAAAUAAAGAAAAAAUUUUUCCUUGAAAGACCGUUAUAUAUCGUCACUGUUAUAAGAAAGGCCAAGAAUUAGAUAAGAUGAAAGAAAAAGAUGAUGGUUGCACUAUUUUACAAAAAAAUUACACUGUUUAAAAUGAACGUUGCACUCUUUGAGAUAAAAAUUGCAUUCUUUUAAACGAAAGUUGUACUCGUUCAAUAAAAAUUACACUAUUUUAUAAAAUAAUGCACUUUUCUUUCAUGACGGCCACUCUCGCUAGUGUGAGCCUCUCCACCUCACGUGCCUGCGUUGAAGUGCUGAAACCCGAAGACGAUCUACCUCCCCCGCGCGAGGGUCUCUCUACUCCCAAGCAGCCGCGACGCCACCACCACCAACAAUUUGGUUCCAUGUUCAACAAGAUCAUUAAACAUGGUGAACGCAAGGUGUCUAAAUCCGAGUCUUCCUCCCUCGAACCCUUUUUCCCCUCCUUCUCCCUCGAACCUUCCUCCCUUUCCUCCUCCCCCUUCCCAUCCGUCUCUGCCUCCCCCUCUACCUCGCUCGUCUCCAUCAACCACGCCUUCCGCUCCACCACCAACGUCGUCGCCGCACACUCUCUCCCCGGGCUCCACCACCAUUGCCAUCGCUGCCGCCACAUCAUCUCUGCCCGGGGAGAGCGAUGGCGGUGGUGUAGUGGGAGGUGUGGUUGAUGGAGACGAAUGGGACGGAGGGGAUGAGAGAGGAGGGAUCGAGAGAGAAGGAUGAGCCUCACGCGGGGGAGGUAGGUUAUUUCUGGAUUUCGGCGCUUUGACGAGGCGCACGGGGUGGACAGGCUCGCACUAGCGAGUGGUUGCCAUGAAAAGUAGAGUGCAAUUUUCUUUAAAACAAUAUAAAUUUCAUCAAAAUAGUGCAACUUUCAUUUCAAAGACUGUAAUUUUUAUUUCAAAGAGUGCAACGUUCAUCUUAAACAGUACAAUUUUCUUGUGAAAUAAUGCAAGUUUAUUUUAACAGUACAACCACCAUCUUUUUCUUCCUUCUUCUCUAAUUCUUAGUCUUUUCUAUAACAAUGACGAUAUAUAAUAAUCUUUCAAGAAAAAUUUAUUUAUUUAUUUAUUUAUAUUUUAUUCCUUUUUUAUCAUUUUUUUUUUUUUUUGUUCCUUGAAGGAGAUAGAUAAAUUUUCAUCCUUAUUCUCACAGGCGGCAAGCACCUCUUUAGUCACAACUUAAUCGCUUCCGUCCAAUCCGUUCUCAUCCCCGGCCACUACGAGUUCUCCUCUUCCGGUAUUGCGUUGAUGCCGGCAUCGGCGGAGGCGAAGGCAGUGCUGAGUUCUUCUCUUCCAUUGUCGACGCCGAUGUCGGUGCCGACACCGGCGAAGGCGAAGGUGGAGCCGCAGGAAGAGGAGGCAGUACUACCCUCGUUGCCUUCGCCGAUGGUAGCAGAGGUGGUGGAGGAGGGUCGGAAAGAAAAAAAAAAAAGAACGAAAGAAAAAAAAAAAGAGAGAAAAUAAAAUAAGAUAUUAUUGUCAGUUUGCUAAAAAUUCAGCCCGAAUCUGUAAAAUUCAAAAUAAUGGCCCACUUUUGCAAAAUCACAAAGCUAAUUAAUUUUUUAUACAAAUUGGACAGAAAUAAUUUAUAUAGAUUCUUAUAAAUUACAAAUUCUUUGGAUCCCUAUGUGAACUUUGUGACAAAAAAGGUCCUUAAUCUUAUUUUGGUAAAAAACAAUUAAUACAUUUCAUUUCCAAAUAUAUGAUUUACACCAAUUAAUUUGGUAGAUAAUUUUUUUUUUAUUUAUCACAUCACGUGACAAGUAAAAAAAUUUUACACUCUUUAAAGCGAUAGGUAUGAUAUAUAUAUCACUUUUGGGGUGUGUGAAUAGUACUGUAUUUUUUUUAAUAUGCUUUUGUGUUCUAGUUCAUUGCAUCUAUUUCUUUUCCUCUAAAUAUUUUAAAAAUGUGAAUUAAAAAAAUAAAAAAUUCUCGGGCGUAUUUAGAAAGCGGACUGCUAGAUCUACAAUUAUUUUAUGAUUAUAAUCUUACAAUAUGUUCUUUCAAAAGUUAAAUCUUUCACAUUUAUCUUUAAUUUUAUAUUUUUCUUUUUUAAUACUAAACUCAAAAAUAUUUAUUUAAACUCUAGGACAAGAGAUUUUAACUCUUGAAUGAGACUUGUUUUUCAGUGGUAGUCUUAGUAACUCAGGCUAAAAAAAUAAAAAUCUCGUUGAAAAAUCUCGUUGAAGUCGCUGUACAUUUAUUAUUAUUAUUAUUAUUUUUUCUUUGAUUGAAUAGUAACAUCGUGCUACACCUUACGCAGCACAUUUAAUUAUUAUCACAAAUUAAAAUACAGCUAUGAAGAGGCCUGUACAGUGUCCUAUCUCCAGGUCACAUGGUUUGUAGCAGCAACCCAUAUGCUCUCCUCACUUUUUUAUAGUAUUUCCAUAACAACACUGUUUUAUAUAGCUUGCUCGAAAGGCCCUAAGUGAGAGAAGAUCCAUAAAUUAUUAAGAAGAGAUACAAGUAGGGAUAUCAAUGGGUCGGAUUCGGGCGAAUUUUUAAAAAUCUAAACCGAACCUAACUCCAAACCCGAAAUCCGAAUCCGAAUUCGAACCCAGUAAAUUUUAAAAAUUUAUAUCCAAAACCGAAUCUAAUCAAAAAUUUAAAAUUCGAACCCGAACUUGAACCCGAAAAUCCUAACAUGAAACAAUUAUUUUUCUUUCAAUAUAUUAAAAUAUAUUACAUUAAAUUUAAAUUUUUAAAAUAUAAAUUUAAGUAUAACAUCAAAUUUUUAUAUAUAUAAUAAAUUUGUGUUUGGGUUCGGAUCGGAUACAGUCAAAAUCUAUAUAUAGAUUCAUAUCCGUCGAAUUUUUAUUUUUGAUAUAUAUAUUUGAAAUCAUAUACGUUCAGCAUCCAAUAAAUCCGCUAUGUUCGGGUUUAGGUUUCGAUAAAAUUUUAGAUAUCUGUACUUAUUGACAUCUCUAGAUACAAGUGCAUGUUCAUAAAAAAAAUUCCAAUAAAUAUCAAAUGAAUUAUUUGAAAAGAUAUUGAGAUCCAUGACCAUCAAUAUAAGCUUAUGAAAGGGCGAUAGGGUUGGAGCCCUCCCCGCGUUUCGCGCUCUCCGCCCUCCGGUACGGCGGCGCUCCCCCCCCCUUUCGUAGCCGCGACGCUAGGGUUGGAGCCCUCUCCGCCCUCCCGUACGGCGGCGCUCCCCUCCCCCCCUUUCGUAGCCGCGACGCCAUCGCUUUCCUCACUCGGGAACGCAGCCGCGUUCUUCCGUACGACGCGNACAGCGAAAAAGUUUUAUCUUUCUGUUCUACUUUUUUUUUCUAAAUAUACUCACUACGGAAAUAAAUAUUAUUCAAAAAUAUUAAUGGAUAAUAUUAAAAUUAAUAUUAAUAGUUCUAAUAAUUGGCUAUUGUAUCGACUUCCUGUUGCAACACGCGAGAUUCCGAUUACCUUUGUUUCUAAAUAUACUCACUACGAAAAUAAAUAUUAUUCAAAAAUAUUAAUGAAUAAUAUUAAAAAUAAUAUUAAUAAUUCUAAUAAUUGACUAUUGUAUCGACUUCCCGCCGCAACGCGCGGGGUUCCGUAACUAGUGUUUAAUAAUUCAUGGAAAACUGAACUCUUAAUUGUCACAUGGUGAGCACAAAAAUUGAUAAAAAAAAGGUAGCACUUUAGUUGGCGAAAGGAUUAGUAAGUAUUGAAUUAAUUAGAGAAAACUUCAAAAACCCCCCCAGUGGUUUCAUAGUUUCUCAUUUUGCCCCCCUGUGGUUUAAAGUGUAUUAAUUUGCCCCCCUGUGGUUUCGUUUUUAUCUUUUCGGUAGCUUUUUCGUUAAUAUUUCGUUAAAUUAUAUACAAAAAACUUCAGAUACCCAUAUAUAUUUAUCAAAUAUUCACUUUAGUACCCUUUAAUUCUAACUUUAUUACUAAUUUAAGGAAAAAAAUAAUGAAAUUGAUAAGAAAAAGAGAAAAACAAAAUCACAGGAGGGCAAAUUGAUACAUUUUAAAUCACAGGAAGGCAAAGUGAGAAAUUAUGAAACCAGAGAGGUUUUUUUUGAAGUUUUCCCUAACAAUUAUGAUUGAGAAGGACAGUUGUGUACUGCAUGUUGCAAGUUGGUAGAAAAGGACCUCCCAAAGCCUUUCUAAUUUAGAAAAAUAUAUAGGACAUUUGUGUAUUGCAUGUUGAAAUUAACUUGGUACCUUCCUAGUCUAGAAAAAUUAUAUAUUUUCCAAUAAUUUUAAAAUGUUUUUCUAGUGCAUAAGGGUACUAUUGAAAUGUUCAAAAUCUUUAAAUAUUCGUUUCCUAUUUUGCACCCAAAAAAAGUUCGAAUAUAUCAACAUAGAAUGAAAAAAAAGAAAAAAAACUACAAGAGAUUAGCUUUAUAGGCCUAAUAUGAAACCUAUUACUUAGCCAAUGAUUUAAUUACUAUAUUACUUUACUAUACUCAAUAUUUUGGAUAAAUAAAUAUAAAAUCAUGACCACCUGCAUCGCGUGAUAGUUGUCGUUAUAAUAAAAAAAUUAUACAUAAGAUCACAACUUGGCAUUUUAAAUUUGAGAUACUCAUCAUGAGUUACACACACCACAUUUUUUAGGACCCUCUUGAAGUUCUUAACUAAUAAAACUAUGAGGUGCGGCAUCAAGAAAAUAAAAAAAAAAGAAUAAAAUAUUGUAAUCCCUUCACUAUUUCAAUAUUGCCACUUGCUCAUUAAAUUUUUCACUAUUUUAAUAUUGCAACUUGGCCAUUAAUUUUUUUGCUUAAAUAUUCCACUCUUAGCCUUCACAUGUACUUGAUUUUAUGAAGUUGAUCAUUAUAGCCUUUCACUUUUAAAAGAACUCAUUUAUUCCAUCAAAUUUUGAGCAACGAUAAAUAUAACUUUAAAUUUAAAAUCAUCAUAAUUAAUUUGGUAAGUAAAAAUUAAAAUAUUAUAUAUGGGUCUAUAGGAUCCAGUAUUUUAGCGAAUUGCUAAGAGAUGGUAUUUUUUUUAAAAAAAAAAAACUUAAAAAACACUCCAUAUAUAUAUUGGUUGAGCCAAUCGCUUUUUAUUUUAUAUUUUAUAAGCACGAAAUUAUAUAAAAUAAAUACCAGAAAUUACAACAUUAAUUAUUAUUCAAAUUUUAAAAAAAAAACAACCACACAUUCAACACCCAACGUGCAUGGCACCAACCAAAACAUCAGUGUGGGCCCCCACCCCAACGUUGACCCGGUCACUUCUCCGUCGCCGGAGUCAAUGCGGUGACCGUGAUCUUGGGCUCGAGGGGGAGCGUACCGACGUCGGCAGCGAACGUGUCGUAGCGGAGGAAGAGCUCCACGACGAACAGCCGCCCCGCCAUCACCACCACGUCCUUCCCGGGGCACUGCUUGUUCCCGGCCCCCGCCUCCGCCGUCUCCGCCCCGUUCGACCACACCACGUACUCCAGCAGCCGCCGCCCCUCCUCCCCGACAAACCGGUCUGCCACGAACUCUGAGCCGUUCUCAAACACCCGCUCGUCCCGCGUUGCAAAAGGUUGGUAUCUGUUCCAAAUAAAAUAUUAAAACACCAUUCUCUACUAGCAUAAGCCUCGAAGAUAUAUGAUAGUGAGGCCUUCUAUUCUUCUUUUAUUAGGAAUGUAGUCUCAGGUUAAAAUAUAAAGCAUAGCUUCGCUACUAAGAAAAAUACCAUCUAAUUAAGGGUGUGUUUGUGAAAAAAUAAAAUAAUUUUCAGAUUGUUUGGUUGAAAGAAAAAAAUAAAAAUAAAAAAAUAAAUAACCCAAAAUAUAUUAUUAUUAUUAUUAUUAAAGUAUAUUAUAUAAUAAAUAUGUAAUAUAAUACAUAAAUAGUAUAUAACAUUUAAUAGAUUUGACUUUCGAUCAUUUUUAUCCGUUAGGUUAUACUAUUCAACCAAUCACCAUCAACCCUAGGAACCACUAUCAUCUUAGCUGUAUAUUCUUUUAUUUAAUUACUGAAAACUUACCAACCGUCCCUAGAGCAAGUGGCAAAAGGCUUGGUGGUUGGUAUCCGAGACCUAAGUUCGAAUUCUAGUCGAUUCAUAUUUCUAGCUAAGUUUAUUUCUGAAUGAAAUAAAUGAAGCGAGUAGCGUGCUACCUAUCUCUCAAAAAAAAAAAAAACUACUGAAAACUUAAUAGCACAA